GGGUGUUGUGUUCCGGUGAUAUAAUCGUUGGUCUCACAUCCUGAGUUUGAAGUUCAACAUACCAGAAAUGGCCUCUGUUAACGUUUGUAGAUGCCCUGGAGGCAUUUCCGCUCAACGCGAGCCUAUAUUGAAUGUCAAGCAAGAACAUUGUGGCGAUAUUCGAAUUACCGACUCAUGUCGUCCAGCACCCGUUCCGAACCCGUGCAAAUCUAUCGAGAAGCCUCAGACAUUUGGUCUGAACUUAAAUCUUCAGUCAAUGACGGGCCAAGAUUACUCAUCGUCAACCGGCUGCCAACUUGUGCGAUCUGCCAAUAUCAUAGAAUGGGACCAGAUGAACGACCGAAAAGUUUUUGGAGCCAGAUCGGACAAGGAAAACUCAGAAAUGCUGCGGGAGCUGAGCAAGCGGCAGCAGGACGAGUGCCUGACCACGUGCCGGCACCGGGCCGCCGACACCACCAAGAAGCUCGGUGAGCGUCUGCGUGACACCAACUACUGGAAGUUCGAGCUCGAGAG